rnacentral:rRNA from 1 species
AGCAGCCGCGGUAAUUCCAGCUCCAAUAGCGUAUAUUAAAGUUGUUGCAGUUAAAAAGCUCGUAGUUGAAUUUCGGGAUCAAUACGUCGGUCGUGCUUUCGGGUACGUACUGGCGUCAUUGGUUUCUCCUUUCUGACGAACCAUGAUGUCAUUAAUUUGGUGUUAUGGGGAGUUAGGACUGUUACUUUGAAAAAAUUAGAGUGUUUAAAGCAGGCAUUAGCUUGAAUACAUUAGCAUGGAAUAAUGAAAUAGGACGUUCGAUCCUAUUUUGUUGGUUUCUAGGAUCAACGUAAUGAUUAAUAGGGAUAGUUGGGGGCAUUAGUAUUCAAUUGUCAGAGGUGAAAUUCUUGGAUUUAUUGAAGACUAACUACCGCGAAAGCAUUUGCCAAGGAUGUUUUCAUUAAUCAAGAACGAAAGUUAGGGGAUCGAAGACGAUCAGAUACCGUCGUAGUCUUAACCAUAAACUAUGCCGACUAGGGAUCGGAUGAUGUUAAUUUUUAAUGACUCAUUCGGCGCCUUA